GCCCAGUUGGCUCAGUUGGUAGAGCACGCACCCUUUGGUCUCUUCUCAGGGUCAUGAGUUCAAGCCCCAUACUGGGCA
rnacentral:tRNA from 1 species